UGGCUGCUGUUGGUUUGUUUGAAGCUAAUGCUGGUGGAAUUGCUUCUGUAGUUUAUGGUUUUGCAGAGCUGCUAAUCAACUGGAUCGUUUUUACUUCAUGUUUUUAGCUGUUAUAUCAGAAGAUGCCCUUCCCUGGAAGUCGCUGUUGACCAUGGUGUAGGGAUCGUCUUCCUACUUUACUUUCUGGUUUUGAAUCUUAAAUUGGACAUUUGCUACUAAUGCUUAAGAUAUUUCCUAACAAACAAAACUGUUCAUGACACUUCUGUUCUUUUUUCUGAUUGUUGAAUAAACAUGUUUGAAAGCUC